rnacentral:rRNA from 1 species
UACGAGGGGGGCAAAUGUUGUUCGGAAUCACUGGGCGUAAAGGGAGCGUAGGCGGGUUUUAAGUCAGGUGUUUAAUCCCGGGCCCAACCCCGGACAGGCACUUGAAACUGGGAAUCUUGAAUAGUGGAGAGGUCAGUGGAAUUGGGGGUGUAGCGGUGGAAUGCGUAGAGAUCCCCAAGAACACCCGUUGCGAAGGCGGCUGACUGGACACAUAUUGACGCUGAGGCUCGAAAGCAUGGGAGCAAACAGG